GUUAAAAAGCUCGUAGUCGGAUUUUGGCUGAGAACGGCCGGUCCGCCGUUAGGUGUGCACUGACUGGUCUCAGCUUCCUGGUGAGGAGGUGUGCUUCAUCGCCACUUAGUCACCGUGGUUACUUUGAAAAAAUUAGAGUGUUCAAAGCGGGCUUACGCUUGAAUAUAUUAGCAUGGAAUAACACCAUAGGACUCCUGUCCUAUUUCGUUGGUCUCGGGACGGGAGUAAUGAUUAAGAGGAACAGUUGGGGGCAUUCGUAUUUCAUUGUCAGAGGUGAAAUUCUUGGAUUUAUGAAAGACGAACUUCUGCGAAAGCAUUUGCCAAGGAUGUUUUCAUUGAUCAAGAACGAAAGUUGGGGGCUCGAA
rnacentral:rRNA from 1 species